rnacentral:lncRNA from 1 species
UUCUGAAGAGUCAAAAAUUUCCCGAAUUAAACUUUUUAAAUGAAUAUGAUAUUCCUGUAGACAAAUAAAUUCUGAAGUGUUUAAAAAAAAAAAAUUGUAGGUAGGUGCGCAUUUAAGAAAACUACGGCCAAUUGAAAAUUGACUAUUUAUGGAAUACGGAAAAAGUGAAAAAUCCAAUAAAAACAGACAAAACAUGAUUUUUUUUUCAAGUAAUCAAGUAAACAACUUAGUUCCUGUGCUGUAUCUCUUUAAUACUAUGCAUUACAUAAAAAUAAUAUAAAUAAUACCUCAUCUGAAUACACAUUAAUUUUUUUUUGUCAUUAUAGUGAAAAAAAAUAUUCAUAAUUUAUCACAAAAAAUAGCCCAAAUUCCAACUAAUACCAAAAAAAAUACUAAACUUCCCGAAUUAAACUUUUUUUUUAAACUUAGCAAACAUGUGGACCCCACAUAACCUUAACAUUUUAAGCCAAAAAAAAUUGGGGGUAGGUGCGCAUAUAAGAAAGUUUUAUGCCAUUCAACGAUCCCUCACCCACAAGUCGCAUAUUAUGAAAAAAACAAAAAAUCCCAUUAAAAACAGCAGAUUUCUUGAUUUUUUUCUUCAGUAAUCAAGUUAAAACAUCAAUUUGUGUGUUUGAUCUGCUAAAUACAUUGUUCUUUGGCAUAAAUAAAAUAUUAAAGAACACAUGCCUUGCUAUUUUUAAAGUUUUUGGGGAAAUUUAUCAUAAAAAUAACCCUUAAUUCCAAAAUUUUCUUUACAAAUAGCUUACUUCUAGCAUUAAAAUUUUUUUCUGUGGUAAUAUACAAUAGAACCAAUAUAAAAUGAACAUUGCAAGUCCUUGGAAAUAGGUGCUUGGUGUGCAUACAAGACAGUUUCAUGUCGAUUAUCUCAUAAAAAAAUGAAAUUAU